rnacentral:rRNA from 1 species
AUUGAACGCUGGCGGCAUGCCUUACACAUGCAAGUCGAACGGUAACAGGUCUUCGGAUGCUGACGAGUGGCGAACGGGUGAGUAAUACAUCGGAACGUGCCCGAUCGUGGGGGAUAACGGAGCGAAAGCUUUGCUAAUACCGCAUACGAUCUACGGAUGAAAGCAGGGGACCGCAAGGCCUUGUGCGGACGGAGCGGCCGAUGGCAGAUUAGGUAGUUGGUGGGAUAAAAGCUUACCAAGCCGACGAUCUGUAGCUGGUCUGAGAGGACGACCAGCCACACUGGGACUGAGACACGGCCCAGACUCCUACGGGAGGCAGCAGUGGGGAAUUUUGGACAAUGGGCGCAAGCCUGAUCCAGCCAUGCCGCGUGCAGGAUGAAGGCCUUCGGGUUGUAAACUGCUUUUGUACGGAACGAAACGGCCCUUUCUAAUAAAGGGGGCUAAUGACGGUACCGUAAGAAUAAGCACCGGCUAACUACGUGCCAGCCGCCGCCGUAA